rnacentral:rRNA from 1 species
CAGUCGCCGCGGUAAUACGUAGGGUGCAAGCGUUAAUCGGAAUUACUGGGCGUAAAGCGUGCGCAGGCGGUUUGUUAAGACAGAUGUGAAAUCCCCGGGCUCAACCUGGGAACUGCAUUUGUGACUGGCAAGCUAGAGUGUGGCAGAGGGGGGUGGUAUUCCGCGUGUAGCAGUGAAAUGCGUAGAUAUGCGGAGGAACACCGAUGGCGAAGGCAGCCCCCUGGGCCAACACUGACGCUCAUGCACGAAAGCGUGGGGAGCAGACGGGAUUAGAUACCCCUGUAGUCCCUGUCUCUUAUAU